rnacentral:rRNA from 1 species
CCUACGGGGGGCUGCAGUAAGGAAUAUUGGUCAAUGGACGAAAGUCUGAACCAGCCAUGCCGCGUGGAGGAUGAAGGUCCUCUGGAUUGUAAACUUCUUUUAUAUGGGACGAAAAAAGGCCUUUCCAGGUCGUCUGACGGUACCAUAUGAAUAAGCACCGGCUAACUCCGUGCCAGCAGCCGCGGUAAUACGGAGGGUGCAAGCGUUGUGCGGAUUCACUGGGUUUAGAGGGUGCGUUAAUGGGUUGGUAAAAUCCCCGGGCUUAACUUGGGAACUGCCAUUGAUACUAUCAGUCUUGAAUACCGUGGAGGUCAGCGGAAUAUGUCAUGUAGCGGUGAAAUGCUUAGAUAUGACAUAGAACACCAAUUGCGAAGGCAGCUGGCUACACGAGUAUUGACACUGAGGCACGAAAGCGUGGGGAUCAAACAGGAUUAGAUACCCGUGUAGUC